AAAUAAGUAGUAAAUGAAAUUUUUUUAAUUACAAUUGGUCGAUAAUUACGCUUUGUUAAAACAAAAAGUAACUUGAUAUAAUAGUUUUGCAUCUCACACACAAAAGAAAUGAUGAAUUAGAAUGUUUCAAAAAUUGUAGAAAAACAUGACAAAAGGAAGCAGUGGGGCCAUAAGUACUCCUCCUUUUGAAAAUACAUUUUGGACGUUGAUAAAUUACUAUGAAGUUUAAUUAUUUGAACGUUUAUACAUUUACCUGUUGUUAUAGAGAAAAUGUAGCUUGCUGCUAACUGGAAGUAGUAAGGGAAAUUUAAGCUUAUAUAGGAUAAAGAAAAUCCUAAAGCAACGAUCUGAAGGAAUAUACCAUGUAUCUAUGGAACCAAAAAGGGUCUCUUAAGUUAUAACAGAAAGUUUCUGUUACUUGAGCAAUACGAAUCAACACAUCCUACAAUUAAAAAGAUAUAAAAACGUCUUUCCUAUCUUUUUUUUUAAAUCAUGUACAAUGGUUUAAAAAAUUAAAGUGGUGAUACAAAAGGAACUAUUAAAAAUAUUUUAAAAUGAAUACUUGAGCAAUAGCAAAACACUAUUAAAAACAGAAAUAUGGUAGGAAAAGAAGCUAUUUUAUGUAAUCAAAAUUUUUUUUUGUAAAUCACAAUAA